rnacentral:piRNA from 1 species
UGGCCUUGGAUCUGAUGGAGAGGAAG